rnacentral:tRNA from 1 species
GGGCCGGUAGUCAAGUCUGGUACUGACGUCCGCUUGGCGCACGCAGGGUCGUGGGUCCGAAUCCCACCCGGUCCA